rnacentral:misc_RNA from 1 species
CUCCUCUAUACUCUAUUAAGAGAGUUCUAUCUUUUGGCAAUAUCUUUUUUAAAAAUGACAUCCCAUCAGAUGGACGUUGUAUACCAGCUAUUCCUAAAAUUGUUGCAAAUAAGUCAACACUGCUGACAGGUGCAACAAUUUUUGAUGGUGUAAUUCCAGGACCUCGUAUUAAUAAUGGAACUUUAAUAUCUGUUUCAUAUGGUUGGCGUUUAUCUAUUGGCAUACUGAACUGGCCUAAAAUACUUCAUAUACAUUCUCUACAAGUUCAUCAACAGCUAGCAAUGUUUCCCAUCUCC